rnacentral:miRNA from 1 species
CCUGGCGGGCCUCCAGGUGCCUCCUUCCCGCGGCCAGCUCCGCCCUCUCCUGGUGGCGGGAGGGGUGGGGAGGGCGGGCACAGGGGGAG